GGGCUCUUAGCUCAGCUGGUUAGAGCGCAGCGUUGACAUCGCUGAGGUCGGGCGUUCGAGCCGCCCAGAGCCCA
rnacentral:tRNA from 2 species